rnacentral:rRNA from 1 species
GAUGAACGUUGGCGGCGUGGAUUAGGCAUGCAAGUCGUGCGGAAAGGCCCCGCAAGGGGUACUCGAGCGGCGAAAGGGAUAGUAACACGUAGGUACCUACCUCUGGGACGGGGAUAGCCGGGGGAAACUCCGAUUAAUACCCGAUAACAUCUUCGGAUCAAAGGUGUAAUUCCGCCUGGAGACGGGCCUGCGUCCUAUCAGCUAGUUGGUGAGGUAACGGCUCACCAAGGCUAGGACGGGUAGCGGGUGUGAGAGCACGACCCGCAUCACUGGGACUGAGACACUGCCCAGAAACCUACGGGUGGCUGCAGUCGGGAAUCUUCGUCAAAGGGCGAAAGCCUGAACGAGCGACGCCGCGUGCGGGAUGAAGGCCUUCGGGUUGUAAACCGCUGUCAGUGGGAAUGAAAUGCCAGGGGGCUCACCCCCUGGUUUGACAGACCCGCAGAGGAAGGACGGGCUAAGUUCGUGCCAGCCGCCGCGGUAAAAC